rnacentral:rRNA from 1 species
AGAUACCCUAUUAUUUUUAUUUGAUAUAUAGAUUGGAGACUACGAGCUAUAGCUUAAAAACUAAAGAAUAUGGCGGUAUUUUAUUUAAUCAGGGUGGCAUGUAACUUAAUUUGAUAGUCCACAAUUUUAAAUCCUAAUUUUGAAUAACAGCAUGUGUACUGCCGUAAUAAUGUAAUUUUAUUGAAUUAUAUAAUAUAUUUAUAUAGAUAUAUAAUCAGGUCUAAGUGCAGCUUAUAAUUAGGUGUAUUAUGUGCUACAUUUAUAUAAUCAUUCAGUUAUAUUGUAAAAUUUAUAUAAGGAGAACUUGAUAGUAAUGAGAUUAAUUAAAUUUUAUGAAAUUAAAAUUAAAAUGUGUACACAUCG